rnacentral:lncRNA from 1 species
CCUGAUAUAAUCAUAUAGGCCAAAUUUAUUAAAAGUUUCAUUAAUAUCAUCAGAGUGCUAAAACUAGAAUUUUUAAUUACCCUUUUUAAAUUUUACAAUUUUCAAUGCACUAAAGUUUUCCUAUCACCAGGCAUAAAUUGUCUUAGUAAUAUUUUGCACAACGUUUUAAAAAUUUUUGGGUUUUAAAUACUCUUCUAAUUCAUAUAUGAUUAAGCCUUCCAGCUGUUUUAAAUCUAGUGCCAUGAGUCUUAUGAAGACGAAAUGUACGUUAGCAAAUUCUUAGCCUUGUAUCUUGGAUGAGUUUUUAUAUGAGAAUUUUUAUGGUGGUAUAACAUUACAUAUUUGUAUUUUUGAAAGUGUUCGAUUAUUACAUAUGUAUAAAGUCU